rnacentral:rRNA from 1 species
UACAGAGGUCUCAAGCGUUGUUCGGAUUCAUUGGGCGUAAAGGGUGCGUAGGCGGCGCGGUAAGUCGGGUGUGAAAUCUCGGAGCUUAACUCCGAAACUGCAUUCGAUACUGCCGUGCUUGAGGACUGGAGAGGAGACUGGAAUUUACGGUGUAGCGGUGAAAUGCGUAGAUAUUCGCAAGAACACCAGUGGCGAAGGCGGCUCACUGGCCCGGUACUGACGCUGAGGUGCGAAAGCGUGGGGAGCAAACAGG